rnacentral:lncRNA from 1 species
GGUUGGCCUCAGGCGAUCCAUUUGCAUGCCUCUUGGUAUUCACUGUAUCAGUUUUGAUAGUAAGUGGACACGUGCAGCAACCUUGGUCUGAGAAGGGCUUAGUGACCACGGCUCAGAUGCCUCAGGGAUGAAGUUCUAGGCCACAUCACCAGAAUCCUCUCGAAGCUGAGAAUAUCUGCAACAGGCAGCAGGGAGCGGUGGUGGGAGUGGGGUGGAGAAUAAAGAGGAAAAACAUGGAACACCAUUUACGAAAUGACAUUCUCAUCCAAUUCCUCCAUCCCAAAUGAAUGAAGAUUUAUGUAUGCUGUACAUGCCGACGGAGGCAAAGGGGCAGAACAGAUUUAUAUGGGCUGGACUGAUACUGGAUUUAUUCAAGGAGUGGAAGGGUGACGUCACAAGUUAUAAGUGAUGAAGAGAAGCAAAGACACGUCUAGGUUUGAUGUGAGAACACCUUUAACCUAACCGUGUGGACGCAAUCUGACUGUUCCUCAAAUAGAUGAAAGCAUAUCCAAGCAGCUACAUUGGUGUUUCCAAAUUUUUAAAUAUGUGUCUUUGUUUAGAUGGAACAUCCAAAAGAGUGAGGGAGCUUCUCUGUUCUUGCUUGAAUGUUUUGGGAAUGAGUUGACACUGUCUAAAUAUCAACACUAAAACUGGUUCACAAUAAUGCUUUAUAAAGUUAUUUAUGUUUUAGUGAGAUUGUAGGUGUUUAAACUUGUUUUUCCUCCCCUUUAUUAUAAAUAAUUAGAGUAAGGAAAUCUAGAAAGGGUAAUUACAAUUUGUCAUAAUUGAAUGUAAAGUUUAGGCCAUGUUUAGAAACAGGUUCUUGAUAUCUAAAGUAUGUCAUAACAUGCUAUCUUUUUAUGCAUCGUGAAAUUCCUUUGUGCCAUCCCUUCUGUAAAACUUUAGUUUUUAAAACCCCUGAACUAAUACAGUAAGACAUUUCUGGAGUUUUUGAGUUAGAUCUAUUUGUGUAGAGGACAACUGAUAUUCAAAAUCCUUUCUCAUCAUUCAUUUAUUUAUUCAACAAACAUUUAUUUAGGUCAUACUUUGUGAAGUCAUUCAGUGCCUAAAGGAGAAUAUCUCUCUUAGGGAGAGCAGUCUAAUAAGUGAUAAAUAAAAAAGAAAUCCUAAUAGAAAACAGACUUAGGGAGGAGCUGGCACUGAGGCAAAAGUCAGAUACGUGAAAGCGAAGAGGAUUAAACAGUUAAUUCUGAGGGAGGGGGUUGAGUGUGUUCAAAAAACUGCAUUUGCCUUUAAGAUGAGUUGUGAACGAAGUUUAGGAUUGUGACGGGGAGUGUUAUGGAGAAGAACAUUCCAUGUGCAAAGACUUGGAGGCUAUCUAUGG